rnacentral:lncRNA from 1 species
UGCAAAUAAAUCCCCGUCACCAAGACAUGCAAAUAAACCCCCGUCACCAAGACAUGCAAACACUUAAUGCAUGGUGACAUGACUCCUUGUCUACAAGGUGUGCUAUUUUCCUUAAAAAGGUACGCAGUAUAUUUGUGACAAAAGCUUGACAGAUCUGAACUAAAUGACAUUCGUCAGCUUCUCUCCCGAUAGUAGACGUCAGCUCCUCUCCCGAUAGUAGAGGUCAGCUCCUCUCCCAAUAGUCGAGGUCAGCCCCUCUCCCGAUAGUCGAGGUCAGCCCCUCUCCCGAUAGUCGAGGUCAACCCCUCUCCCGAUAGUAGAGGUCAGCCCCUCUCCCGAUAGUAGAGCUCAGCCCCUCUCCCGAUAGUAGAGUUCAGCUCCUCUCCCGAUAGUAGAGGCCAUCCCCUCUCCCGAUAGUAGAGGCCAGCCCCUCUCCCGAUAGUAGAGGCCAGCCCCUCUCCCGAUAGUAGAGCUCAGCUCCUCUCCCGAUAGUAGAGGCCAUCCCCUCUCCCGAUAGUAGAGGCCAGCCCCUCUCCCGAUAGUAGAGGCCAGCCCCUCUCCCGAUAGUAGACGUCCGUUCCUCUCCCGAUAGUAGAGGUCAGCUCCUCUCCCGAUAGUAGAGGUCAGAGCCUCUCCCAAUAGUAGAGGUCAGCCCCUCUCCCAAUACUAGAGGUCAGUUCCUCUCCCGAUAGUAGAGGUCAGCCCCUCUCCCGAUAGUAGAGGUCAGCCCCUCUCCCGAUAGUAGAGGUCAGCCCCUCUCCCGAUAGUAGAGGUCAGCCCCUCUCCCGAUAGUAGACGUCCAUUCCUCUCCCGAUAGUAGAGCUCAGCUUCUCUCCCGAUAGUAGAGGCCAGCCCCUCUCCCGAUAGUAGAGGUCAGCUCCUCUCCCGAUAGUAGAGGUCAGCUCUUCUCCCGAUAGUAGAGCUCAGCUCCUCUGUCAAUAGUAGACGUCCUUACCUCUCCCGAUAGUAGAUGUCAGCCCCUCUCCCGAUAGUAGAGAUCAGUCCCUCUCCCGAUAGUAGAGGUCAGCCUCUCUCCCGAUAGUAGAGGUCAGCCUCUCUCCCGAUAGUAGAGGUCAGCCCCUCUCCCGAUAGUAGAGCUCAGCCCCUCUCCCGAUAGUAGAGGUUAGCCCCUCUCCCGAUAGUAGAGGUCAGCCCCUCUCCCGAUAGUAAAGGUCAGCCCCUCUCCCGAUAGUAGAGGUCAGCCCUUCUCCCGAUAGUAGAGCUCAGCGCCUCUCCCGAUAGUAGAUGUCCGUUCCUCUCCCGAUAGUAGAGGUCAGCCCAACUCCCGAUAGUAGAGGUCAGCCCCUCUCCCAAUAGUAGACGUCCGUUCCUCUCCCGAUAGUAGAGGUCAGCUCCUCUCCCGGUAGUAGAGGUCAGCUCUUCUCCCGAUAGUAGAGGUCAGCCCCUCUCCCGAUAGUAGACGGCCGUCCCUCUCCCGAUAGUAGAGGUCAGCCCCUCUCCCGAUAGUAGAGGUCAGCCCCUCUCCCGACAGUAGACGUCCGUUCCUCUCCCGACAGUAGAGGUCAGCUCCUCUCCCAAUAGUAGAGGUCAGCCCCUCUCCCGAUAGUAGAGGACAGCUCCUCUCCCGAUAGUAGAGGACAGCUCCUCUCCCGAUAGUAGAGGUCAGCUCCUCUCC